UCCUGUGAGGUGAGUGCCUCUGUUCUGGGGUGGACUGUGAGGCCCUGCUUUUCUUUGAAUCUGAGAUGACUGCAGGUUUGGGCAGAUGACUGGAGAUGCACACUGAAAACCUACAACCACAGCCGGUACAAGCAAUGAAAACUCUUCUCCAGUCCUGCAUUCUACCUGACUGACAUUCUCUCCACAAAUUUGCAAAUGAAUUCAAGGACAGAACAAGGUCGAGUAUAAUUCCUGCCCUUGGAGUCCACCAAGAAUCUUUUAGUCUCUUUAGAAACUUUUCCCAAAAGAAAAUGCAAUGGUCUUAAAUCUCUUUUCUGGGACUCUUAUGAAAUAACCAGGGAAGAUUAAACCACUGAAGAAGAGAUGAGACUAAAACAACACCAGACCCAGAGAGACUCUUCAUCUAAGAGGUUAUGCGGGAGAUUUCAUCUGCGUAAUAAAACUGCCCUUAUUUGCGCAUACAUCUUCACCGCCGUGCAUCUACCAUGCUGUCAUGCAUCUGAUGAGGCCUGAAUCCAGUGUCAAACAGAUGUGGACACUUAAUCUUAGACUUCCAGCAUAUAAAAAUGUGAGCUAAAUAAACUUUUUUAUAUAUUA